CUCGCCGUAGUUAAAUGGAUAUAACCGACCCCUCCUAAGGCCAAUUACAGGUUCGAUUCCUGUCGGCGAGG
rnacentral:tRNA from 1 species